GUGGGGAAUAUUGGACAAUGGGGGCAACCCUGAUCCAGCCAUGCCGCGUGAAUGAUGAAGGCCUUCGGGUUGUAAAGUUCUUUUGGAGGGGACGAUGAUGACGGUACCCUCAGAAUAAGCUCCGGCUAACUUCGUGCCAGCAGCCGCGGUAAUACGAAGGGAGCUAGCGUUGUUCGGAAUUACUGGGCGUAAAGGGCGCGUAGGCGGUUUGGUUAGUCAGAUGUGAAAGCCCAGGGCUUAACCCUGGAACUGCGUUUGAUACUGCCAAGCUUGAAUUCGGGAGAGGUGAGUGGAAUUCCCAGUGUAGAGGUGAAAUUCGUAGAUAUUGGGAAGAACACCGGUGGCGAAGGCGGCUCACUGGACCGACAUUGACGCUGAGGCGCGAAAGCGUGGGGAGCAAACAGGAUUAGAAACCCGUGUAGUCC
rnacentral:rRNA from 1 species